rnacentral:rRNA from 1 species
AGUGAACGCUGGCGGUAGGCCUAACACAUGCAAGUCGAACGGCAGCACAGUAAGAGCUUGCUCUUACGGGUGGCGAGUGGCGGACGGGUGAGGAAUACAUCGGAAUCUACUUUUUCGUGGGGGAUAACGUAGGGAAACUUACGCUAGUACCGCAUACGACCUACGGGUGAAAGCAGGGGAUCUUCGGACCUUGCGCGAUUGAAUGAGCCGAUGUCGGAUUAGCUAGUUGGCGGGGUAAAGGCCCACCAAGGCGACGAUCCGUAGCUGGUCUGAGAGGAUGAUCAGCCACACUGGAACUGAGACACGGUCCAGACUCCUACGGGAGGCAGCAGUGGGGAAUAUUGGACAAUGGGCGCAAGCCUGAUCCAGCCAUACCGCGUGGGUGAAGAAGGCCUUCGGGUUGUAAAGACCUUUUGUUGGGAAAGAAAAGCAGCAGGUUAAUACCCCGCUGUUCUGACGGUACCCAAAGAAUAAGCACCGGCUAACUUCGUG